AGCUAAUCCGUCGUUUGUUGCAUUGAUUUACUCAGAUUUGACUGGUGGUUUGUGUUUUCUUCUGCAUCUCUAAUCUCAGCCGGAUUAGUGGUCAGCCGGUGACAGUAGGCGCAUGCACCGAAUGGCUCCCUUGUUGGCGUUGAGUCAGACCUCUAGGUGAUUUAAAGGGUUAAAGAAUUAGCAGUUAGAAUAGAAGAGAGGCCUCGCAGAAAAGAAAUCAUUGUAGCCAAAUGUGCUGCCACAACACUCAUCAAAACUGAUAGCUGGUGAAAAAGAAUUAUUUGCUUAGUUGCUGCUGCUGGUUCAUACUCUUGGUGAAACCUAUCUUUUGUUUUUUUCUGGUCCAUUUUGUUGUCUUUGGUCCUUCAAUGUUAGAUUGCUAGUUCUGAUUCAUGGAAAACACCGCAUGUGAUCCAUUAUUAUGGUGUCAUGAUGCUGGAUGCAAAUAUUAUUGAUAUGAAGUUAUAAUUUGGGCUGUAAUUGCUUAUUGUGACUUUUGGGCUGGAACUUUUGUUUUGGUAAA